GCGGCGGACGGGUGAGUAACACGUGGGCAACCUGCCCUGCAGACUGGGAUAACUUCGGGAAACCGGAGCUAAUACCGGAUAACACCGAAAACCGCAUGGUUUUCGGUUGAAAGGCGGCUUUUAGCUGUCACUGCAGGAUGGGCCCGCGGCGCAUUAGCUAGUUGGUGAGGUAACGGCUCACCAAGGCGACAAUGCGUAGCCGACCUGAGAGGGUGACCGGCCACACUGGGACUGAGACACGGCCCAGACUCCUACGGGAGGCAGCAGUAGGGAAUCUUCCGCAAUGGACGAAAGUCUGACGGAGCAACGCCGCGUGAGCGAAGAAGGUCUUCGGAUCGUAAAGCUCUGUUGUCAGGGAAGAACAAGUGCCGUUCGAACAGGGCGGUACCUUGACGGUACCUGACGAGGAAGCCACGGCUAACUACGUGCCAGCAGCCGCGGUAAUAC
rnacentral:rRNA from 1 species